AGAGUUUGAGUCCUGGCUCAGGACGAACGCUGGCGGCGUGCCUAACACAUGCAAGUCGAGCGAGGACGGGUCUUCGGGCCGUGAGCCGAGCGGCGGACGGGUGAGUAACACGUGAGCAAUCUGUCCCUGUGCGGGGGAUAACCCGGGGAAACUCGGGCUAAUACCGCAUGGGACCCUGGGGGCCGCAUGGUCUCUGGGGGAAAGGUGGCCUCUCCUGAGGAAGCUACCGUGCAGGGGGGAGCUCGCGGCCUAUCAGCUAGUUGGUGGGGUAACGGCCCACCAAGGCGACGACGGGUAGGGGGUCUGAGAGGAUGAUCCCCCACAUUGGGACUGAGACACGGCCCAGACUCCUACGGGAGGCAGCAGUGGGGAAUAUUGCGCAAUGGCCGAGAGGCUGACGCAGCGACGCCGCGUGCGGGAGGAAGCCCUUCGGGGUGUAAACCGCUGUCAGGGGGGACGAAAGGUAGGGCCUGGAAUACGGGUUCUACUUGACGGUACCUCCAGAGGAAGCGCCGGCUAACUCCGUG
rnacentral:rRNA from 1 species